rnacentral:misc_RNA from 1 species
CGCAACUUGCGCCCUUUGGUAUUCCGGAGGGCAUAUCUGUUUGAGAAUCAGUUUAACCCUCACACUCUAACAAGUGUGGAAAUGAGAUUUCUCCUUAAAACCGAGUAUCUUUAAACUGAUUACCAACACUUGUUUAUCAAUACUUUUGUUAAACGGCAAGAUUACUGGAUGGUUUUAACCGUUCUUUACUUUGCUUACUAGACAGUUGAGGCGAUUACAUUUAAGUUGGCUAAAAAAGUUAUACGAAAGUCCUUUUUGAAAAAAAAGGCUUUUAAGACUUGGUCUCAAAUCAGAUAAGACUACCCGCUGAACUUAA